GACGAACGCUGGCGGCGUGCUUAACACAUGCAAGUCGUACGAUGACCCGGCUCUUCGGAGCUGGUGAUUAGUGGCGAACGGGUGAGUAACACGUGGGUGACCUGCCCUGCACUCUGGGAUAAGCCCGGGAAACUGGGUCUAAUACUGGAUACGACCAGUGGCCGCAUGUUCUGCUGGGGGAAAGCCCUUCGGGGUGGUGUGGGUUGGGCCCGCGGCCUAUCAGCUUGUUGGUGGGUUGAUGGCCUACCAAGGCGACGACGGGUAGCCGGCCUGGGAGGGUGUCCGGCCACACUGGGACGGAGACACGGCCCAGACUCCUACGGGAGGCAGCAGUGGGGAAUCUUGCACAAUGGGCGAAAGCCUGAUGCAGCGACGCCGCGUGAGGGAUGACGGCCUUCGGGUGGUAAACCUCUUUCGGCAGGGAACAAGCCUGGGGGUUGUCUUCUGGGUGAGGGUACCUGCGGAAGAAGCACCGGCUAACUACGUG
rnacentral:rRNA from 1 species